AAGAAGGCCUUCUGGGUUGUAAACUGCUUUUGCCAGGGGAUAAAAGACCCUUGCGAGGGAAAUUGAAGGUACCUGGUGAAUAAGCCACGGCUAACUACGUGC
rnacentral:rRNA from 1 species